UGAGGAAUAUUGGUCAAUGGGCGAGAGCCUGAACCAGCCAAGUAGCGUGCAGGAUGACGGCCCUAUGGGUUGUAAACUGCUUUUAUAUGGGAAUAAAGUGAGGGACGUGUCCCUUAUUGCAUGUACCAUACGAAUAAGGACCGGCUAAUUCCGUGCCAGCAGCCGCGGUAAUACGGAAGGUCCAGGCGUUAUCCGGAUUUAUUGGGUUUAAAGGGAGCGUAGGCUGUUUGUUAAGCGUGUUGUGAAAUGUAGGAGCUCAACUUUUAGAUUGCAGCGCGAACUGGCAGACUUGAGUGCGCACAACGUAGGCGGAAUUCAUGGUGUAGCGGUGAAAUGCUUAGAUAUCAUGACGAACUCCGAUUGCGAAGGCAGCUUACGGGAGCGUAACUGACGCUAAAGCUCGAAGGUGCGGGUAUCGAACAGG
rnacentral:rRNA from 1 species